AACGAACGCUGGCGGCAUGCCUAACACAUGCAAGUCGAACGAGACCUUCGGGUCUAGUGGCGCACGGGUGCGUAACGCGUGGGAAUCUGCCCUUAGGUUCGGAAUAACUCAGGGAAACUUGAGCUAAUACCGGAUAAUGUCUUCGGACCAAAGAUUUAUCGCCAGAGGAUGAGCCCGCGUAAGAUUAGCUAGUUGGUGGGGUAAAAGCCUACCAAGGCGACGAUCUUUAGCUGGUCNGAGAGGAUGAUCA
rnacentral:rRNA from 1 species